rnacentral:lncRNA from 1 species
ACCAAAUAUAGUCGGGCCUGGCUAUUUUUAGCCGGGCCUCGGGCGCGAGCGCGCCGCGUGAGGGGGCGCCCUGACCCCGCGGGGAGUGCGGAGGGGGCGGGGGUGGAGGCGCCAUCUUGGACUCGGCUCGACCCCGUCUGGUGACCGGCGACGCUGGGCCAGGCUCGGCGCAGGGGGUCGGGCCAGUCUUUUAGAAGCUAAGAACUAUCAUCAUCCCUGUUUUACAGAAGCACAAAGAAGUUAAGUACUUGACCAAGUCACAUCAAGGUAUGAGCCCAGGUAGUCUUGCUUCAGAGCCUACGUUCUUAUCCAUGCCCAUUGCCAGCCGCAUGCUCGUUCAUUUAUCAGAGCAAGUGAGGAACUCAGCAGAGUCAGGCGAAAGAAGGAGGGUACUAUUAAUAUUUGGUGCCCAUUCUGUUGCUGUGCCUGUUUCGGCUUAGGUAAGUAGGUACACUUUCAGUUUUAAUGAUCUCAUUAGAAUUUUUUUCUCCAAGAAUUUGUUGUUCCUGAAGUACUACAUUUUUCAUAAAA